GGGCGAUUAGCUCAGUUGGUAGAGCACUGCUUUCACACGGCAGGGGUAGCUGGUUCGAAUCCAGUAUCGCCCA
rnacentral:tRNA from 1 species